rfam:Aedes albopictus isolate Foshan contig5983, whole genome shotgun sequence.
GGCCCCGUGGUCGUGGGGAUCACACGUUCGCUUUAUAUGCGGAUGGUCAUGGGUUCAAUUCCCAGCCGCGCCA